ACGAACGCUGGCGGCUGCUUAACACAUGCAAGUCGUACGGAGCGGCGAACGGGUGAGUAACGCGUGUGCAACCUGCCUAUGACAGUGGGAUAGCCUCGGGAAACCGGGAUUAAUACCGCAUAGUCAUAGAUGGGCGCGCGUCUGACUAGCGAGUUGGUGAGAUAACAGCCCACCAAGGCGACGAUCAGUAGCCAGUCUGAGAAGAUGAACGGCCACAUGGGAACUGGGACACGUUCCGAACUCCUACGGGAGGCAGCAGUAGGGAAUAUUGCACAAUGGGGGAAACCCAGAUACAGCGACGCCGCGUGAGCGAAGAAGGUGUUCGUAUCGUAAAGUUCUGUCCUAUGGGAAGCAGUUCCAUAUAAGAGAGCUCCGGCUAAGUACAUGCGAGCAGCCGCGGUAAUAC
rnacentral:rRNA from 1 species